GAUGAACGCUGGCGGCGUGCCUAACACAUGCAAGUCGAACGGAAAGGCGAUACUCUUGGUUCACUCGUGUUGCCGGCGGGCGGGUGACUAACGCGUGGAUAACCUUCCUAUAAGACUGGGGUCACUGCGGCUAACCGUAGCUCAUACCAGAUACUAUUUUUAACCGGAUGGUUCAAAAGUUUAAUCGGUUCUGGCUGUCCCUUAGAGAUAGCAGCUCGGUGGAGGAGCUAGGUGGUAAGGUAACGGCUUCCCAAGGCCACGAUGCCUAGCCGACCUGAGAGGGUGAUGGGGCACACUGGAACUGAGACACGGUCCAGACUCCUACGGGAGGCAGAAGUAGGGAAUCGUGGGCAAUGGGCGGAAGCCUGACGGAGCGACGCCGCGUGAGUGAUGAAGGUCUUCGGGUGGUAAAACUCUGUUAUGAGGGAAGAACACUUGUGUAAGUAACUGUGCUCUUCUUGACGGUACCUAAUCAGAAAGCACCGGCUAACUACGUG
rnacentral:rRNA from 1 species